AGAGUUUGAUUAUGGCUCAGAACGAACGCUUGCUGCAUGCUUUAUACAUGCAAGUCGAACGGAGGCCCUAGCUUGCUAGGUGUCCUUAGUGGCGCACGGGUGAGUAACACGUGGGAACAUACCUCAUAGUACGGAAUAACUGCGGGAAACUGUAGCUAAUACCGUAUAUUCCAGUAAUGGGAAAGAUUUAUCGCUAUAAGAUUGGCCCGCGCAAGAUUAGCUUGUUGGUGAGGUAAAAGCUCACCAAGGCUUCGAUCUUUAGCUGGUUUGAGAGGACGAUCAGCCACACUGGGACUGAGACACGGCCCAGACUCCUACGGGAGGCAGCAGUAGGGAAUAUUGGACAAUGGGGGCAACCCUGAUCCAGCAAUGCAGCGUGAGUGACGAAGGCCUUAGGGUUGUAAAACUCUUUCAUCGGUGAGGAUAAUGACAGUAGCCGAAGAAGAAGGACCGGCUAAUUCCGUGCCAGCAGCCGCGGUAAUACGGAAGGUCCUAGCGUUGUUCGGAAUUACUGGGCGUAAAGCGCAUGUAGGCGGAACAAAAAGUUAGAAGUGAAAUCCCUGGGCUCAACCUAGGAAUUGCUUUUAAAACUUUUGUUCUGGAAUUCAGGAGAGGAAAAUGGAAUUUCCAGUGUAGAGGUGAAAUUCGUAGAUAUUGGAAGGAACACCAGUGGCGAAGGCGAUUUUCUGGACUGAUAUUGACGCUGAGAUGCGAAGGCAUGGGUAGCAAACGGGAUUAGAUACCCCGGUAGUCCAUGCAGUAAACGAUGGGUGCUAGUCGUCGGACUUUUGUUCGGUGUCGUAGCUAACGCGUUAAGCACCCCGCCUGGGGAGUACGGUCGCAAGAUUAAAACUCAAAUAAAGCGCCAAUUCAGGCUUCCAAUGUCGCCAUCUGGAACCAUGAAGCCGAAAAGGCUGAUCGCGUAGGCUUAAAAAUCGAAGAAGGACGCAAAGUACGCAUCUUUAAGUCCAACGGCAAAGAGAUUGAUGAAUAGCA
rnacentral:rRNA from 1 species